GGGACACGUGGUAUCCUGUCUGAAUAUGGGGGGACCAUCCUCCAAGGCUAAAUACUCCUGACUGACCGAUAGUGAACCAGUACCGUGAGGGAAAGGCGAAAAGAACCCCGGCGAGGGGAGUGAAAAAGAACCUGAAACCGUGUACGUACAAGCAGUGGGAGCACCUUCGGGUGUGACUGCGUACCUUUUGUAUAAUGGGUCAGCGACUUAUAUUCUGUAGCAAGGUUAACCGUAUAGGGGAGCCGCAGGGAAACCGAGUCUUAACUGGGCGUUAAGUUGCAGGGUAUAGACCCGAAACCCGGUGAUCUAGCCAUGGGCAGGUUGAAGGUUGGGUAACACUAACUGGAGGACCGAACCGACUAAUGUUGAAAAAUUAGCGGAUGACUUGUGGCUGGGGGUGAAAGGCCAAUCAAACCGGGAGAUAGCUGGUUCUCCCCGAAAGCUAUUUAGGUA
rnacentral:rRNA from 1 species